rnacentral:rRNA from 1 species
UAAUAUAUCGGAACGUGCCCUGGAGUGGGGGAGUAACGUAGCGAAAGUUACGCUAAUACCGCAUACGAUCUACGGAUGAAAGUGGGGGAUCGCAAGACCUCACGCUCCUGGAGCGGCCGAUAUCUGAUUAGCUAGUUGGUAGGGUAAAAGCCUACCAAGGCAUCGAUCAGUAGCUGGUCUGAGAGGACGACCAGCCACACUGGGACUGAGACACGGCCCAG